rnacentral:rRNA from 1 species
GAGCGAGAAAGGGACUUCGGUCCUGAGUAAAGCGGCGCACGGGUGCGUAACACGUGGGUAAUCUUCCUCCGGGUUGGGAAUAACUCUUCGAAAGGAGAGCUAAUACCGAAUAAGCCCACGUCUCCUUCGGGAGAUGAGGGAAAAGGUGGCCUCUGCAUGCAAGCUAUCGCCUGGAGAUGAGCCCGCGGCCCAUCAUGCUAGUUGGCGGGGUAACGGCCCACCAAGGCUACGACGGGUAGCUGGUCUGAGAGGACGAUCAGCCACACUGGAACUGAGACACGGUCCAGACUCCUACGGGAGGCAGCAGUGGGGAAUCUUGCGCAAUGGGCGAAAGCCUGACGCAGCAACGCCGCGUGAGUGAUGAAGGCCUUCGGGUCGUAAAGCCCUGUCGGAGGGGACAAAGCUUAUUUCGUCUAACAGAUGGAGUAGGUGAUGGUACCUUCAAAGGAAGCACCGGCUAACUCUGUG